ACGUACACUCCUGCGGGAGGCAGCAGUGGGGAAUAUUGGACAAUGGGCGCAAGCCUGAUCCAGCCAUGCCGCGUGAGUGAUGAAGGCCCUAGGGUUGUAAAGCUCUUUCACCGGAGAAGAUAAUGACGGUAUCCGGAGAAGAAGCCCCGGCUAACUUCGUGCCAGCAGCCGCUGUAAUACGAAGGGGGCUAGCGUUGUUCGGAAUUACUGGGCGUAAAGCGCACGUAGGCGGAUCGAUCAGUCAGGGGUGAAAUCCCAGGGCUCAACCCUGGAACUGCCUUUGAUACUGUCGAUCUGGAGUAUGGAAGAGGUGAGUGGAAUUCCGAGUGUAGAGGUGAAAUUCGUAGAUAUUCGGAGGAACACCAGUGGCGAAGGCGGCUCACUGGUCCAUUACUGACGCUGAGGUGCGAAAGCGUGGGGAGCAAACAGGAUUAGAAACCCCGGUAGUCCCA
rnacentral:rRNA from 1 species